GUCGGGGAACUCUUUAUUUAAAGGAGUUCCACUCUUUUUGUUAGCUAGAGAUUGGUUGGCGGUGUGUGCUUUGUAAGCUUUUGAUUGUUUUUAGUCGGUUAGGGACUUUUUCCUGUUGUCUUUUCACUGUUUUGUAUUCAGAGGAUGCCUCAUCCUCUUCUCUCCUUUUUAUUAAUAAAGCUUUUGUUGUUGAUCAAAAAAAAAAAAUGUCAUGGCAGCAUUUGGUGAAUACGUCUUAUGGGAAAAUGGAUAAGUUAACUUGAUAGUAUUUGGUGAAAGCUCAGCCACAUAGUAUUUUCUGAUGUUGAUAAGCGUCAACUUCUUAAUAGGUUGGAAGUGUUUGGGUGCAUUUGGUUUUGGAUGUCCAAUGGAUAGCUAAUCCUUUUCCAACUGUGCAUUUCGUAUCAUUUGGGUUAGGAAAGUAUCAGUACUGUUUUCUAAUCUCAUGGAUGUCUGGCUUGUUUCAAGCUCAUGUUUACUUUCAGCUCUGGAUGAAGAGCUGUAAGGUUAUUGUUCUCGAUAUCUCUUUGUUGUUUGAGGCCAAGAUGGACAAGUGGACAAACUCCAUUAUUGUAGUAUCAGUUGAUCCUGAAAGACAGCUUCAGCGACUCAUGGCAAGAGAUGGAGCAUCACUACAAACAGGAUACAAUCUCAGAUGCCUUUGGAUUUGAAAAGGACUAAGGCAGACAUAGUGAUUAACAAUACUGGAUUGUUAGAGGAUGUGAAUGAUCGUUUUCAGAGGGUGUUAGUCCAGGUCACAAAGCCCUUGACGUGGACUGAAUUUGCCCUUUCCAGACUUGGAACUUUUCUGGCCUUUUAUAUCAAUUUUUGUUGGUGUUUGCACAUGCCCGAUGCAGUCAUGACUGCUAUAUAGGGGCACUUCUUAGGGGGGUAAUAUCUCCCCCAUCCAGCUCUACACCUUUUCCCCAGGCUCCUGCUCACACAUGCUUUUGGCUGGAAAUGCUUUCCCGCCGUCAGGAAACCUUUAUAUUUCUGUGGCUGUAGCGAUUAUGAUAGAUUUUUCCAUUUAUCUCAUUGGAAUGUAUGUUUGUUUUGCCCAAUUGGGUUGUAUAGAUGAUUUAAUCGUGGAAAUGGAAGUCUGCCAAGGCUGUCACAUUGAUUGAAACAUGCGGAAUAUUUAGUGGCUUCAAUGGAGAAUAAUUCAUAUUGUAAAAUUUUGUUUA